UACGGAGGAUGCAAGCGUUAUCCGGAAUGAUUGGGCGUAAAGCGUCCGCAGGUGGCAAUGUAAGUCUGCUGUUAAAGAGUCUAGCUCAACUAGAUAAAAGCAGUGGAAACUACAUAGCUAGAGUACGUUCGGGGCAGAGGGAAUUCCUGGUGUAGCGGUGAAAUGCGUAGAGAUCAGGAAGAACACCAGUGGCGAAGGCGCUCUGCUAGGCCGUAACUGACACUGAGAAGCGAAAGCAUGGGGAGCGAACAGG
rnacentral:rRNA from 1 species